AUAAAGGCUUAUGAAGUUAUUUCUCUUUCUCUUGCUUGUAUUCUCUAGGGUGAAAUUGGCCCUCCAGGAAAACCCGGCUCAGCAGUGCAGAUUGAAGGUUUGAAAGGAGAGCAGGGAGCUCCUGGUCCUAGGGGAUCAAUAGGUCCUCCUGGAACCCCAGGGAUCCCAGGUCCUCCAGGACCUGAAGGCAAGUCAGGACUUCCAGGUUUACAAGGUCAAAGGGGUAAGAAGGGUGAAGUUGGUCUCCCAGGAGCUGAUGGAUUACCUGGAUCACCAGUAAGUUACUAGUAUGAAUUAUACAUAUAUUUUCAAAAGAC
rnacentral:lncRNA from 1 species